AUGAUGCCUGAUUCAGCCCAAAACCCCAGCCCCCUUCGAUGGACCAAGAGGCAGAGGCGUCCGUGUCCGGCCUCCCUGACUGAACCGGCGGACUUCCUGUGUCCAUUGCCUGGGACACGGUGCUGCAGAGGGGCCCAGAACCUUCUGAAAGGUGGGGAGUCCGGAGAAGGGUGCUCAGCCAGCCGCCUGGGUGGAGUAAAGAGUAGGAAGUGGCUCCCGGCCCGGCCCGACAGGAAUCAGACCCUGUGUGACUCCUCCUUCUCCUCCCCUGCCCAGGGACUCCCUGCCCAAGCGGAGGCAGGACACAAGGCACAGGUGCGGGGGAGCCUCCCGAGUACUCACUCGCCCUAGGACAAAACUCCUCCCCCACCCUCCAUCCCCUCCCAGCCUCUCCCUUCCCUUCCCUGCCCACCACAGCCCAGUGGUCCUCCCCUUAAAGGGAAGGGACCCCUUUCCAGACCCGUGUUCCCAGCCCGCCUGGCCCCCUGCGCUCUGUCAGGCAGCACCUGAGGGCUGCCCCUGAGAGUCGGGGAGCCUCUGGGUUCCUCAGCUGGGGAGUUCAGGGUUCACAAUUGGGCCAGCCUAGGGGGUGGGGAAGGGGUUCCUGGAGCCCAGCAGAGACCUGGAGAGCCUGGGCGCCAGAGCCCCUCCGCAGGUGCUCCUCCUCUCUCUGCAUUUUAUGGUGCUUGUUACCCCACAAAACACAGGGUCCCCAAACAGCACUUACUGUGGGUGGACACACACUAAUCAACACUUGUUGCGGUUACCUUCACACCUGCCCUCUCACGGCAGCGUGAUUCCCAGGAGCCCAGAGUGGAAACAGGCCAGAUGUCCAUCCGCUGAAGAGCGGACACACGGUCCCCCACGCGCGGGCACGUCCCUCGGCCACGGACAGGAGUGAGGCGCCCACCCACGCUGCCCCGGGGACGGACCCUGAGCCCGCAACACUCAGGGAGGGAACCAGACACAGAAGGGCCCACGCGUGUGAGUCCACGUGUGUGACACGUCCAGAACAGCCUCAUCCACGGACAGGAA
rnacentral:lncRNA from 1 species